rnacentral:tRNA from 1 species
GCCGCACAUGUGCGCGCGCAGUGUUGAAGCCCUGCCGGCCCUCCCUCUCCCUCCCCACCACAUCUUUCAUCCCCUUCACGGCGUUUGCCGAACAAUGAAGCUUUACGCGAGCAGAGUGCGUGCGCUCGUUUCUGACAAGGGGGGAGGGAGGAGCUUGAUCAGCUGCGCCUCCCAACUGCACGAGGAGGCGGCCACCACCCACACGGAGAGACGUUUAUGCUUUACACAUCACAGCUCUUCCGCACCAGGGGGCACACCACCCAUGCUCGGGGGGGGGGGGCGGGCUCGCCGCCCUCUACGGGAGCAGACACCGCUGUCAUGGGCCAAGAAAUGGCUCAGAUCAAGAGGAACAUGAAAGGAGCCGCCAAGCGCUUGUGCCGCCACAGAGGUCUACCGCGAAGACACAGCAACAACGGCAGUCCAAGCGGAACCGGGCGGACCGCAAUGGAGGACAACGCUAGCGGCAACGGCAGCCUCCUGUUCCAGCGCGGCGACCUGCCGCGGCACCUCGGUGCAAAGGCCGGAUGCUCCACACGGAGGGCUAACUGCAUUGGGGGCGGUGCCAAGCGAACGGGGGAGCGCAGGAGAGGGUCACGGCACGGGGUGGCUGCAGGGCUGCUGGCGGCGGCGGUGCGGGGGUGGGGCGCGCCCGCGAUAGCCGCAACGUCACCUGGGCGGUGGCAACCCUUCCUCGAUAUUCUUUUUUCCCUUCAGCGCUGGCCGCUGGACGGGCGGCCCUCAAGUACCGCUAUGAAGAGCCGCUGCAUGGAUUCUACACCGGUGCUGGACCAUGCACCGCUAAACAUCCACUGCCCCCACGCACCGCCAUCUUUUACGAAACUGACAGCCAUCGGCUAUGCAGUGGGCGACGGGCAACGCACACACGCAAACACGAGUCCAAUCAAAAUGCAGAGCUGGCAACGCCCCCCAUUGGUGAGUACAACUGCUGGGGGGGGGGGAGGGGUGGGGCGCGGUCCGGCCCUUCGCCGCGCGCCCACGUUAACGGAUGGGCGUGGCCCGCCGGGUGCGUCAGCGAUCUGUGGGCUUCACGCCCUCUUCGCCUCCUCCCCCCGCGUCGCGCGGCUCCCCGGCGUUUGCGCUCUCGGUGCGUGUGUGUGUGCGGGGCGGGGGGCGCUGUCUCCGGGCCGUCUUUUUGGCGUGCUUCGCCGCCCACGCCGGGGGCUACCCCGUUUUCAUGCCGAGGGCAGGCGCCCCCCCUACCCCCGCCUGGCCGAUGAGCUGAGCGCUGCGUUCCCCCUUCCCGUGGGUUCGGGAAAAUCAUCCGUGACAGGAUUCGAACCUGCAACCCUCUGAUCCGUAGUCAGAUGCUCUUCCAUUGAGCCACACGGACUUCGUGCUACUUUGUAGCAUGAAGACAAAGACUGACACGGCCCUUGCCUUUCCACCGCCUCUUUUUCUAAGCUCUCCGCGCAGGGGGGAGGGGGGCAAACACAACACUCACUAAGCAAAGCGUCGGGCAAAUACACUCAAGUGCUUCACGUCAGCACAAAUAGGAGUGAAAAGCAGCACUAAGCACAUGUGCACUCAACAAUGCACUUUGACCGCCCUUUGCCGCAAAAGACGGAAAAAGACCCGAGUGAGCGUGUGAAGCGCGCUCCGGCAAACUGCGAACAUAGAGAAAAGCAAGAAAGAGUUGCAUACGCAUUUUUUCAGAAUCAAAAAAAAGCAAGCCUAAAGUGUUGCCCCGCCAUCCUUUCCCCGAUGCCCUGUCACACUCAUUUCUUUUUUUUGCCUUUUUCUCUGGCUUCUAAUGAACUUUUAG